CCUACGGGAGGCUGCAGUGAGGAAUAUUGUUCAAUGGGCGCGAUCCUGCACCAGCCAAGUCGCGUGAAGGAAGACUGCCCUACGUGUUGUAACCCUCUUUUAUCAAGGAAUAAAGUGAGGCACGAUUGCCUUGUUGAAUGUACUUUAUGAAUAAGCAUCGGCUAACUCCGUUCCAGCAGACGCGGUAAUACGGAGGAUACUACCGUUAUACGGAUUUUUUGGGGUUAAAGGGAGCGUAGAUGGGUUGUUAAGUCAGUCGUGAAAGGUUGGGGGUCAAACGCAAAAGUGCAAUUGAUACUGGCAGCCUUGAGUACAGGUGAGGUAGGCGGAAUGCGUGGUGUAGCGGUGAAAUGCUUAGAGAUCACGAAGAACUCCGAUUGCGAAGGCAGCCUACUAA
rnacentral:rRNA from 1 species